rnacentral:lncRNA from 1 species
GAAAUGUUUACUGACUGUAGUUUUGAAAAACUGCCUUUCAAAAGUGGUGUAAAAUGUGGUAUUUAAAAAAAAUAAAGGAAAUGCCAAAAACACUGGUUUGGAAAUUUUAAAUAGGCGUGUAAAAGAUUCAGAGCAGGUAACUUCACUCACUUCAAAGUAACCAAUAUGGAAUAAUGCCUCGACUCACGCACUACUUCUCAGCGACAUUGACCCAACCUAACUCUGUAUUGCAACUCUUGAACCAAUAAUUGUUGAUCAAGAGUCUGAAGUCGCCCGUAUUAGGGUUUAAAAAGUAAAGGAAAGUGGCUGCAAAAGUGCUCAUUAAGUGCCCAUAUCAUCAAAAAGGGAUGAGAAAAAGAUCCUAGGACUUAAGAGGCUCACAGUUUCAUGAGAAUUUAUGGGUUAUCCGUUAUACUUAUAAUACUAGCGUUUAAGAGUUACCACUUGAACUUGAUUGUUUUAUGACCAGUGGGAACCUUCUCGAG